UACGUAGGGCGCAAGCGUUGUCCGGAAUUAUUGGGCGUAAAGAGCUCGUAGGCGGUGUGUCACGUCGGCCGUGAAAACCUGCAGCUUAACUGUGGGCGUGCGGUCGAUACGGGCAUCACUGGAGUUCGGCAGGGGAGACUGGAAUUCCUGGUGUAGCGGUGAAAUGCGCAGAUAUCAGGAGGAACACCGGUGGCGAAGGCGGGUCUCUGGGCCAUUACUGACACUGAGAAGCGAAAGCAUGGGGAGCGAACAGG
rnacentral:rRNA from 1 species